GGGGAUUUAGCUCAGUGGUAGAGCGCUUGCCUAGCAAGCGCAAUGCCCUGGGUUCAGUCCCCA
rfam:Rattus norvegicus chromosome 1, whole genome shotgun sequence.